rnacentral:tRNA from 1 species
GCCCUUAUAGCUUAAUUGGAUAGAGCACUGGCCUCCGGAGCCAGAGAUACAGGUUCAAUUCCUGUUAGGGGCACCA